GGUAUACCCCUUCAUAAUGUCAUUGACUAAUGUCCAGCUUUUAUCCUUCUGAAAAAGAUGAUCUAAUUUCCCACUUUUCCUUGGAAGGAUGAGGGACAAAACUAUUCUCAUUUGAGGGUACGUUUGUCUCAGAAGCCUCAGGUCUUUUAACAUUUGAUUUGCGAUCUGUAUUGGAGGCAUUCGUCCCAAUUCUUUUCCUGCAGCUUGGAUAACUAAAAUUUCAGGGGGACCAUCUUCUUUGGAGAUUGUGUGAUGAAGGUUAUCAACAACGUCCUUCCAGCCCACGUGUCUAAUUCCAAUCCACUUAACAUUAGCAUCAAGAUCCAAGUUUUGUCCAAAAAGAUGUUUAGCUGCAGGCUGUGCCCGUGAAAUAUAAGUUGACCCAACGAUCCAGACAUCAGGCGGUCUGGUGACUUUGGGUGUUUCCAUUGGUGAGCUGUUUGUUGAAAAGCUGAGGUCAGGGGAGCUUGAUGUGUCCUCUUCCCUCUUCUCAGGCUGGAUUUCUGUCUCAAAUGGUGGUAGACCAGCAAAAAGGCUUUUAAAAUCUGAUUAGGCUUUGGGUUGUCAGGCUGGAUUGGGCUAGAUGUAGAAGGGACACGAAGACAUGACAGAGGCUGGUCGUUGCUGCCAACGUGGAGAACCAAAAGGUCUGGGGAACUCCUUUGUUGGGACAACUGGCUAUAAAAAUGCUUAAGAACAUCCCUCCAGCGCAUGCUGACUUUUCCCAUCCAAUGAAUUUUUGCAUCGACGCCAAGGUUUUGUCCAUAGCAUCGAUUAGCUGUAUAUUCUGCCCCAGUGAUGUAGUGACCCGACCCAAUGAUCCAGACCGUGGGCACUUUUCUGUCCUCUGACAGCAGCUGUCUUUGGGUGCUGUCUAAUGAGGACUUUACACCUGAUUGAUCUUCUGGAUUGUCCUGAAUUUGAUGCAUUUUUCUCAAAAUAGAAUCAAAAGUGGAAAUCCUGUGUUUUUAAAAAUGGCGGAGUUUCUUCUCCGUAAAACGUGGUUUCACAAGUGAAGCUCUUCAGCAUGAAAGACCAAGUGAUGCACUUUUGGUUUUAGGUCCUAUUUAUGAAAGUUGAAACGAUGACAUGUCUUGACAUGUUUUGACUACGUCCUGACUACAUCAGAUGAUGUUUAUGACAUCAUUUAAUGUCAUAAACAUCAUCUGAUGUCAUGUCUAUAACAUCAUCUGAUGACAUCAGCAAUUACAUUUUCGUUGAUGACAUCAGCAACUUUUUCAAGGUCUCUUGUUGUUAAAAGAUGUUUUUUUAUUCGACAAAGAAAUCCGUAACUCUAAUAAUUUGUUAUAUAUUUUUGUGUCUAAUUGUAGAAAAUUUCCUGUAAAUUGUCAACUCAAUUUCCCAUCAUUCCUUUCAGUCAUACAGCUGCAGUGCAGUGUCAAUCAUUCAUUUAGACUCUGUGGUGUUGAGCUUAGGAGUUCGCAGCUAAUGAUGUUUAUUCCAUGUUAUUAACUAGUGUUGUACUGGUUGAAUGACUGUGGGAUGGUUAUACUAACACUUCCCACGAAGUAGUUAAGUAAGUGUGCACGUCGUCACAGCUGCUGUGGUAAAAGGAGCCCAAACUUUGAUGUCCAUGUAUGUGAACGCCAGGUCUAAGAGGCUUACACCUUGGAGCAUUGAUCUAACCCUUUUUCUACUUCAACAGACCAUCAAAAAAUUACCUACAAUAGACUAAACCAAAUUCAUUCUGCUUGACCUUUGACCUCAUUAAAGUGGCUCCACUGUGUGGCUUCAUGAAAAGGGCUCCAAAUAAAAGAUAAAAGAGUU